rnacentral:rRNA from 1 species
UACGUAGGUGGCAAGCGUUAUCCGGAAUUACUGGGCGUAAAGCGCACGCAGGCGGUCUUUUAAGUUUGACGUGAAAGCUCCCGGCUUAACUGGGAGAGGUCGUUGAAGACUGGAAGACUUGAGGCAAUGAGAGGGGUGUAGAAUUCCCGGUGUAGUGGUGGAAUGCGUAGAUAGUACGGGGGGAAUACCAGUGGCGAAAGCGGCACCCUAGCGUUAGCCUGACGCUCAUGUGCGAAAGCGUGGGGAGCGAACGGG